CAGUAGCCGCGGGAAAACGAAGGGGGCUAGCGUUGUUCGGAAUUACUGGGCGUAAAGCGCACGUAGGCGGAUAUUUAAGUCAGGGGCGAAAUCCCAGAGCUCAACUCUGGAACUGCCUUUGAUACUGGGUAUCUUGAGUAUGGAAGAGGUGAGUGGAAUUCCGAGUGUAGAGGUGAAAUUCGUAGAUAUUCGGAGGAACACCAGUGGCGAAGGCGGCUCACUGGUCCAUUACUGACGCUGAGGUGCGAAAACGUGGGGAGCAAACAGGAUUAGAUACCCCAGUAGUCCCUGUCUCUUAUAC
rnacentral:rRNA from 1 species